rnacentral:rRNA from 1 species
AGAGUUUGAUCCUGGCUCAGGACGAACGCUGGCGGCGUGCUUAAUACAUGCAAGUCGUAGGGGCUAAUUUCCUUCGGGAGAUUGGUCACUGGCGCACGGGUGCGUAACGCGUAAGUUAUCUGCCCUUGGGUCUGGCAUAACGUCGGGAAACCGGCGCUAAUUCCAGAUGAUAUCGUAAGAUCAAAGCCUUCGGGCGCCCAAGGAUGAGCUUGCGUCUGAUUAGCUUGUUGGCGGGGUAAUGGCCCACCAAGGCAACGAUCAGUAGCCGGUCUGAGAGGAUGAUCGGCCACAUUGGGACUGAGACACGGCCCAGACUCCUACGGGAGGCAGCAGUAAGGAGUAUUGCGCAAUGGACGAAAGUCUGACGCAGCAACGCCGCGUGCAGGAUGAAGGCCCUUUGGGUUGUAAACUGCUGUAGAAAGGGAAUAAUAGUUUGCCACGGGUGAACUUGAAGGUACCUUUAAAGUAAGCGCCGGCUAACUACGUGCCAGCAGCCGCGGUAAUACGUAGGGCGCAAGCGUUGUCCGGAUUCACUGGGUGUAAAGGGUGCGCAGGCGGAUUGGCAAGUCAGAGGUGAAAUCUCACGGCUCAACCGUGAAACUGCCUUUGAUACUGCUUAUCUUGAGUUCGGGAGAGGUUGAUGGAAUUCCAGGUGUAGCGGUGAAAUGCGUAGAUAUCUGGAAGAACACCAGUGGCGAAGGCGGUCAACUGGCCCGCAACUGACGCUCAUGCACGAAAGCGUGGGGAUCAAACAGGAUUAGAUACCCCGGUAGU